AGGAGACAGGCCCCCCUGCCCUGCUGGAGCCAGACCGUUGAUGGAGGGCCCCGAUGGGUGAGGUCUGUAGCGCCAUGGAAACAGACUAAAGAGCGGCGGCAAGAAAGGAGUUGGUCUCCACAAACCGCCCAAAGUCAAGCUCACUGAGCACGGCGGAGAUAUUAAGCCCUGUUUUCGGCAGACACAAGACUUCCCUGAUGGCCUGCAGGGGUUCAAGGACUCCUCCAUUGCCUUACCAAGCCUUCCUUAGGCUGCAUGGCCAUCUAGAACACUUCCAUCCAAACUACCUUCCCUCUCUCUUUCACUUAGGGUCAGACUUGCAUCAUCGUGUGACAGUUCACCCAGUCUUCCUGGCUCCUUCCCCAUUUUCUCUCACGGAUAUUUCCCCUAAUAAAAAUCUUAUACAUG